GACAGAGGUGCCGAGCGUUAGGCGGAAUCACUGGGCUUAAAGCGUGUGUAGGCGGGUCGUUAAGUACCUUGUGAAAUCCCACGGCUUAACCGUGGAACUGCUCGGUAUACUGGCGAUCUUGAGCCACUUAGGGGUCAGCGGAACAAAUGGCGGAGCGGUGAAAUGCGUAGAUAUCAUUUGGAACGCCAAUGGUGAAAACAGCUGACUGGGAGUGUGCUGACGCUGAGACACGAAAGCCAGGGGAGCGAACGGG
rnacentral:rRNA from 1 species